rnacentral:rRNA from 1 species
ACUCAAAUGAAUUGACGGGGGCCCGCACAAGCGGUGGAGCAUGUUGUUUAAUACGUCACGAACCGUAGAACCUUACCAGGGCUUGACAUCUGGUGCACCGGGGUGAAAGCCUCGUUCCCCUCACGGGGACGCCAAGACAGGUGUUGCAUGGCUGUCGUCAGCUCGUGUCGUGAGAUGUUGGGUUAAGUCCCGCAACGAGCGCAACCCUCAUCCCAUGUUGCCAGCGGAUCAUGCCGGGAACUCUUGGGAAACUGCCGGGGUAACUCGGAGGAAGGUGAGGAUGACGUCAAGUCAGCAUGGCCCUUACGCCCUGGGCUACAAACAUGCUACAAUGGACGGUAGACAGAGGGACCCGAUGCCGUGAGGUGGAGGCAAUCCCAGAAAUCCGUUCUCAGUUCGGAUUGCAGGCUGCAACUCGCCUGCAUGAAGUCGGAAUCGCUAGUAACCGCAGGUCAGCGAAACUGCGGUGAAUACGUUCCCGGGCCUUGUACACACCGCCCGU